ensembl:miRNA
GGGUGAAGAAGCGGAGCUCUCGGGACAGAAGGCCAGGCUUUUUGAGCUGUGUUGGUUGUCACGGUUCCUGUUUCGUGAACCACAAGCAGCUCAACAAACUGUGGUCUGUGUUCUCUCCUAAAACCCUUUGCACUUCCCACU